rnacentral:rRNA from 1 species
GGUGAGGAAUACAUAGGAAUCUGCCCAGUCGUGGGGGAUAACGUAGGGAAACUUACGCUAAUACCGCAUACGACGGAGACGUGAAAGCAGGGGAUCUUCGGACCUUGCGCGAUUGGAUGAGCCUAUGUCGGAUUAGCUAGUUGGCGGGGUAAAGGCCCACCAAGGCGACGAUCCGUAGCUGGUCUGAGAGGAUGAUCAGCCACACUGGAACUGAGACACGGUCCAGACUCCUACGGGAGGCAGCAGUGGGGAAUAUUGGACAAUGGGCGCAAGCCUGAUCCAGCCAUACCGCGUGGGUGAAGAAGGCCUUCGGGUUGUAAAGCCCUUUUGUACGGAAAGAAAGCUUCCAGGUUAAUACCCUGGGAGGAUGACGGUACCGUAAGAAUAAGCACCGGCUAACUUCGUGCCAGCAGCCGCGGUAAUACGAAGGGUGCAAGCGUUAAUCGGAAUUACUGGGCGUAAAGCGUGCGUAGGUGGUUGUUUAAGUCUGUCGUGAAAGCCCUGGGCUCAACCUGGGAAUGGCGAUGGAUACUGGGCGACUAGAGUGUGGUAGAGGAUGGCGGAAUUCCCGGUGUAGCGGUGAAAUGCGUAGAGAUCGGGAGGAACAUCUGUGGCGAAGGCGGCCAUCUGGACCAACACUGACACUGAGGCACGAAAGCGUGGGGAGCAAACAGGAUUAGAUAUCCCUGGUAGUCCACGCCCUAAACGAUGCGAACUGGAUGUUGGUCUCAACUUGGAGAUCAGUGUCGAAGCUAACGCGUUAAGUUCGCCGCCUGGGGAGUACGGUCGCAAGACUGAAACUCAAAGGAAUUGACGGGGGCCCGCACAAGCGGUGGAGUAUGUGGUUUAAUUCGAUGCAACGCGAAGAACCUUACCUGGCCUUGACAUGUCGCGAAUCCUG